rnacentral:misc_RNA from 1 species
AACAAGGCGUACCUGCGGACCUGCGGAAGGAUCAUUAAAAAGAGUGUGUACCCCUCUGCAAAAUGAGUGGGUUACCUCCCGUCCUUUGUUGACCUCUUAGGAGGUUAUUUUGAACUUUCUGCUUCGGUGGGGUUAAACCUACCGGAACACCCUCAAAUUCUUAUCAUUUAAAAAUUGUUCAGUCUGAUUUUUGUUAAUAAAAACAAAAAACUUUCAGCAAUGGAUCUCAGAUCGGAAGAG